CUUACUCAGCGCAUUAUUCAAUAAUUAAAGCUUAGGCAAACACGCACACACACACGUCGGGAGGGAGAGGACCGGGUUGUUGACAUGUUGUAACUUGUAACGCCAAAGGAUGAACCGAGUGAUAGUUACAAGUUAGAUACACAAUCGCGGUCAUCCAUGGAAGAUACAUGAGUACAUUUUGUAGAGACACUUUGUAAGGAUGAAAUGACAAAAAUGUUUUGGAACAUAUUUCCCGAGGCUUCAGCUUGACUAAAAGGAAAAAUGUCAUUCCGAAACAUAGCUCGUGAUAUAAGGGAUGGUAUUGGAAGCUUGUCGAGGCGUUUCUACCAUGGCAAGUCACAAUGCAAGA